rnacentral:tRNA from 2 species
AGAAGAUUGACUGAGUGGCUAAAGUGGUAUGUUUGAGCCAUAUUUAUUAUUUAUUAAUUACAUUGGUUCGAAUCCAAUAUCUUCUG